AUUUGGUGAUGGGGGCACUUGAUGCACAACCUCUUAAACCGCUCUCAGUAGUCAUAGAGCGACUAUCCUGGAUGCUGUUUGAUCCCGCAAAUUUCUUUCCUUAGACU